UGUGGCCUUGCCUGAGGUGAAGAGGGGUGCAAAGUACCAGGACUAGUGCCCCUAUUUACUGAAGGAAGGCUAGGCCUUGGCAUCCUUAAGCCUUCCUUCUGUUUGCAGCAGGAGAACCUUCAGCUGGAAUAUUUGAAAACUCAACUUUCAGAUGCCAUUCAGUGAUAAGGAGUUGUCCAGAAGGUGCUGGGGUGCUGAGGUGGCCCUGACACAUGCCUCUGGGACCACACAUACCCAUGGGACCACCAAUACAUGCUGGAGGGUCCCACAGAGCACAGCAACAAGGAGGAUCUAAGGAUGUGAUAGCUCCAACUGAGCGAGUGCUGAAGACUCCUGUUGUCAGCGUAGAGUUCAAAUUGGAAAUGCAUGUGUUAGAGACCUUUCCACUCUUGUGCUCUCUGGAACUGAAUUGCUGAAGUAAAUGAAGAACAUGAAGAACUAGAGUGUCAGGUGGCCAUCAGUUUCUAAGCCUGCAGCAACAUCCUGGCUGGGCAUCUCUGCAGGUCUGCAUCCAGAUUGUCCUCCACAGGAAGGAACCUCUUGAUGCCUCUGGACGUGUAACUUGAAGAGGCCCUGGACAAAGCUCUGCAUGGAAACUUCCGUGGUGUAGCUCUGUGUUCAAGGUGACCCUCGACUGGAUGUGCAGGUUCCUGAAGAAGAUACUGUCUUAGGAUUCAUCUGUCAAGGCUUUAAUUAAAUACAAUCACAAUGGUGAAUGUUUUUUUAAAAAAAAAAAAACUAAGCCCAGAAAAAUUAAAAAAUAAUUUGUGUGUCAU
rnacentral:lncRNA from 1 species